rnacentral:rRNA from 1 species
CCUACGGGAGGCAGCAGUGGGGAAUAUUGCACAAUGGGCGCAAGCCUGAUGCAGCGACGCCGCGUGAGGGAUGAAUGCCUUCGGGUUGUAAACCUCUUUCAGCAGGGAAGAAGCGAAAGUGACGGUACCUGCAGAAGAAGCGCCGGCUAACUACGUGCCAGCAGCCGCGGUAAUACGUAGGGCGCAAGCGUUGUCCGGAAUUAUUGGGCGUAAAGAGCUCGUAGGCGGUUUGUCGCGUCUGCUGUGAAAGCCCGGGGCUCAACCCCGGGUCUGCAGUGGGUACGGGCAGACUAGAGUGCAGUAGGGGAGACUGGAAUUCCUGGUGUAGCGGUGAAAUGCGCAGAUAUCAGGAGGAACACCGAUGGCGAAGGCAGGUCUCUGGGCUGUAACUGACGCUGAGGAGCGAAAGCAUGGGGAGCGAACAGGAUUAGAUACCCUGGUAGUCCAUGCCGUAAACGUUGGGCACUAGGUGUGGGGGACAUUCCACGUUUUCCGCGCCGUAGCUAACGCAUUAAGUGCCCCGCCUGGGGAGUACGGCCGCAAGGCUAAAACUCAAAGGAAUUGACGGGGGCCCGCACAAGCGGCGGAGCAUGCGGAUUAAUUCGAUGCAACGCGAAGAACCUUACCAAGGCUUGACAUGGGCCGGAUCGGGCUGGAAACAGUCCUUCCCUUCGGGGCCGGUUCACAGGUGGUGCAUGGUUGUCGUCAGCUCGUGUCGUGAGAUGUUGGGUUAAGUCCCGCAACGAGCGCAACCCUCGUUCCAUGUUGCCAGCGCGAUGGCGGGGACUCAUGGGAGACUGCCGGGGUCAACUCGGAGGAAGUGGGGACGACGUCAAAUCAUCAUGCCCCUUAUGUCUUGGGCUUCACGCAUGCUACAAUGGCCGGUACAAUGGGUUGCGAUACUGUGAGUGGAGCUAAUCCCAAAAAGCCGGUCUCAGUUCGGAUUGGGGUCUGCACUCGACCCAUGAAGUCGGAGUCGCUAGUAUCGCAGAUCAGCAACGCGCGGUGAAUACGUUCC